CCUGAUGUCACUGACCAAGAAGUCUAUCUCACAUACCGGAUCUGAUGCAUCCAAUACCCAGUUUUUAGAGGUCAAUGUUGGUUUGUGUGUGUAUGUGUAAAUGUGCAGUAAGUGUGUGUGGAAGCCAGAAGAUGGCUUCAGGUGUCUUUUUUCAGGACCCAUCUUAGUAGGGGUUUCAAAUACUGUGAUGAAGCACUCUGACCAAAAGCAACUUGGGGAAGUUUUUUCCUCUUCAGUGAAUCAGCAUCAGUUGCAGCAAAGCAAAGAAUUCAUUUUCAUGGUCCUUACCAAUCCUAGGUGGCUUUCAACCACUUGUAACUCCAGUUCCGGGUAAUCUACUGCCCUCCUCUGGCCUCUAGUAGAGUGUGUGUCUGUCUGUCUGUCUGUCUGUCUGAAUGUAUGUCUGUAUCUGCAUGUGUCAGUGUGUACGUCUGCCUGUAUCUGCAUAUGUCAGUGUGUGUGUGUGUGUGUGUGUGUGUGUGUGUGUGUGUGUGUGUGUAUGUGUGUGUGUGUGUGCAUUUGGAGGCCAGAGGUUAAUGUUAGGCACUUUCUCAAUCACUUUUCUUUUAAAUAUUUAUUUAUUGAAGUUCUUACUAUGUAAACCAGGCUAGCCUCAAACUCACAGAAAUCUGCCGCCUUCUGCUUCUCAAGAGCUGAGAUUAGAGUGAUGCCCUACAAUGGCCAUCUGUUUUAAAAUCUUUAUGUGUCUGUGUGGGUAUGUGUGUGGGUAUGUGUACAUUAGUGCAGGUACUCACAGAAGCUAGAAAAAGGCAUCAUAGUCCCUGAAACUAAAGUUACAGGUGGUUGUAAGCCACCUAGAGUGGGUGCUAGGAAUUGAACUCAGGUCCUCCAGGACAGCAGGGAGCACUCUUAACUGUUAAGCCAUCUCCUCAGCAUGGGCUUGGUGCUCUUGAUUCUCUUCUUUUCCCAGACUUGCUGGACCUGGCCUGGGCCUGCCUCCUCAUCUCUGGUAUCCUGAGUUUCUGUGUGUGUAUGGGUCUCAUCAGAACCAUAUUCUUCUCCAGCACCAACACGCCCUCGAUGGACUUCUUUCUCUUCAUCUGCAGCCUCAUGACAGGCAUGUUACUAUGAUGCUUCCCAUGGGUGCCCAUUAUAAAGGCCAGCCACAUUCCCUCUAUACUCAGCCCUCCCCAUCCUCAUCUUCAGCCCAGCCCUACCUCCUUACAAAUCCCCAGCCAUCAUGUUGCGUCCAGGCCUGAAGCAGCCUCAUCUCUAACUACCGUCUCAUAGCCAGCAGAUCCCAACCCCUCCUCCCCGACACCUGUUCCAUCCACCCCUAUCCUAUCCCGACUCCAUCUUUUCCCAAACCACACUCCUUACUAUCCUCAGCCUCUUCACAAAUCUCAACACCCAACUUGGCCUCAAGCCUCAUUACCCUCCAUGGCUGUCUCAAGGUCAGCCCAGCCCUGCCCUUCUGAGAAGUUCAGCCUCACUCCCAGGCCCUGGCUUCACCUCCUUCUCAUUCCGCACUCCAACUUAGCAGCUAUGAACUUCCCUCGGAAACUCAUCCCAAGCGAUUCCCAACUCCAUCGUCUUCUUCAACCCCACCCCAGGACAUCUUCCACCUAAUACAUCCCCAGCACAGCCUGGACUCCAACCUUUACACAUAGCUCCAUGUGUGGUUCUGUCCUACCUUCCCAAGAGCAUUUCCUUCAAGCUACUUCAUCUCUCCAAGUCAUACUUUUCUCAUCUCUUGAGUGAGGAUACAUUUCCAUUUUUCUUUUUUUAACUGGGUCUCAAGUAGCUGAGGCUGACCUUGAUCUACAUAGAAAUGCAGCCAAGUAUGUCCAGAAUGUCUGUGAACUUCUGAUCCUCCUGUUCCCACCUCCGUGGUCCUGGGAUAACAGGUGUGUGCUGGCACACAAAGUUUCUGUGGUACUGGAGAUGGAACCCAGGGCUUCAUGCAUGCUAGGCAAGCACUCUACCAACUGAGCUACAUCUCAUCCUACUACAGAUAAAAUUUUUCUGUCAUGUGAUGAUGUGGGGAGUGUUCAAUUAGAAAAUGUUAACUCUGUUGUCUUUGAGUCCCCAAGUUGGUUCAUCUGAUCUGACUAGCUAGGCAAGUGUCCCUUUCCUCCCCCACCCUCCAUUGUAAGUCCCUCCUUACCCAGUAGAGAAGGGAUAUGCUUUGGUUAAGGUCAUAUAAAUAACUGAAAAUCCCCUGGUAAAACCUCCAGACAAACUUCCAGGACCCAUCAAGGCACACAGGUUAGUGACACAUCUAAGACUCCAGGCAUAUGUAAAUGAGGAACUCUAGGUGGUCUCCUUUGAGAAGUCAUGAAGAGUGGCACGGGUCUAAAAUGCCAGCAUUCAGGACGCUGAGGUGUGAGGAUGAUAAGUGAGAUUUAGAGGGGUCAGCACUGGAUGCUGGUUUGUUAGCCCUUACUACGGUCAUCCUCCAGGUGAUUCAAAACUGACAUGCUGAUUAGAACGUCUGUGUCCACACACGUGUGAGAUUGCAAAAGGUUGAUGGCAUUUUAGUUUGGCGUUGACUGGCAUAGUCCGCCUGUCCUUGGCAGUAACUGAGCACAGCUUCCAGCUGUGGUACGAAACAUUUCUGGAGGGGAACAGCACUGCUGAGAACAGAGAGCAGGCAGCUCCUGUCUGCUGGUCGCUAGCUGGCGUCUGCUCUGUCUGUAGCUGGAUCAUCAGCGUCUGUUUCUGGCCGGGACUGCUGAGGAAUCCCAGCCACCUUCUGCUUCAGCCUCUCGCUUGCUGGGAUGAAGGCACCACACCUCUAACUACAGUUGUCGAGACUGGAAAGGCAGCUGGUGGUUAAGAGCACACAGUACUCUUGCAGAAGACCAGAGUACUGUUCCCAGAACCCACGUGCAGCUCACAACCGCCUGGAAUGCCAGCUCUAGGGGCAGCUGGUGCCCUCUUCUGGCCUCUGUGGGCACUGCAUCCAGUUGUGAACCCCAACCCCCCUACAACACACACAUACAUAUAAUUAAAAAAUGAAGGAUCAGCAUCAUUCUGGGGGUCCUGUUCUACCUGAUGCAAGCCAGAGAGUUCUUACAGGAAGGCAUGACCUACACGAUGGGGAGCAGCUUCUACCUGGCCUGGAUCAGUGUCUUCUUCUUCUUCAUGAUUGGUCUGGCUGGCUCGGGUGUGGCCUCAGUGGUGCAGAUGAUGCUGUGGGGAUUGUUAGGAAUGGGGGUCGGGUUGCACACAGGGCCGGGGACAGUGGGACUGGGCUUGGGAGUCAGGGUUAGGGAUUCUUGUAGGCUUGGGGUGGGUUGGGGACAACAUGAGAGUGGAGUUGAUUCUGGAUUUAGGGAUGGGGCACACAGUAAGGGCUAGCCUACUAACCUCUAUGUCUUCUCUGCCCUCUUUCUCAGGUCUCUUCUCCUAUCUGAACUACAUGAACUUCUGGUCCAUCCUGCCAGUCCAGGCCAGGUGGUCCUAGGCCAUGACAAUGAACUGAUACCCAUGUUCUACUCUCACGGCUGUCAACUGCCUGACGAGCUCACUCUCCAUGAGUUAUGUAACUUCUGACUCCCCUCAACCCAGAGUAAUAACUUACAUUUUAAAGAAAAAUAUCUUCUGCUCAGAAUAUUUCAUCACUUGGCUUUGUAUUUUGAAAGCACAUUGUGGAACUGCCAUACCCUCCCCCGCAACAUACACCUUGUCCAUUUCGGGGCUACUCUUAAGUAGAGGGACAGAAAAGGGACUCAGGGGUAAAACAUCAAAGGUCAGCAAAAAGACUAGGGUGAGGAUCCUUCGCAUAUACACAGUGCUUUUUUGUUUGUUUUUUGAGACAGGGUUUCUCUGUGUAUCCCUGGCUGUCCUGAAACACACUCUGUAGAUCAGGCUGGCCUCAAAUUCAAAGAUCUGCCUGCCUCUGCCUCCCCGAGUACUGGGAUUAUAGGUGUGUGGCACAUGGUGCUUAAUGUUUAUUGACUUACCCCAUGUCUUAACUUCAACCUUUAGUUCUUUUGAUUUCUAUUGUGGUUUUUGUUUUUGAGACAGGGACUCACUAUGUUGACCAGGCUGGCCUGGAACUCAUAAAGAUGGGCCUGCCUCUGCCACCUGAGUGCUAGGAUUAAAGGUGUGCCUCACUGUUCCGCAGCUCCAACCUUUAGUUGUAUAAUCAAUAACUCCCCUUUUCUGAGAAAAUCCUGCUCAGGUCCUCAACUCACCUCCCAUCCUUUCCUGCAGCUUCUCCCCUAGCCCUACUCUUCUUCCCAAAGGCCCUCAAACACAAUCCUGCUCAAUGGAGGGCUCUAGGAGGGAGGUGUGGGGCCAGUAGACAGCUGCUAAAUAGGAAAGGGUUGAUACGGAAGUAAAAAGCCCAUCACUUCCCAGGUCCCCCACCACCUACCUCCUGCAGAGGGGAAUGAGGCUCCCCCUUUUUCUUAUUCUCACAGGUCUACAGACUCUCACUUACUAGCUCUAUGACUCACAGCAAGGUUGACUUGGGACUCAGUUUUCUUGUCUACAGAGUAGAGGCAAUGAUCUACUACACAGGUCCAACUUUUUGACAUCACCACAUGAUAAUAUUAUCUACAAAGUUCACAUCCAAGAACUGCACAAUCAAAGGGCUGGAGAGAUGGCUUAGUAAAGAGUGUUUGCUUGCUUUCCCAGAAGACUGAGUUCAAUUACCAGCAUCCUUGUUGGGUGGCUCAUGCUACCUGUAACUCCAGCUCUAGGGGAUCUGUUGCCCUCUUUUGGCCUCUGCAGGUACUGCACCCACGCAUACACAAAUAACCCCCAACACACACACACACACACACACACACACACACACACACACACACACACACACA